UACGUAGGGGGCUAGCGUUGUUCGGAAUUACUGGGCGUAAAGCGCGUGUAGGCGGUUACUCAAGUCAGAGGUGAAAGCCCGGGGCUCAACCCCGGAACUGCCUUUGAAACUAGGUAACUAGAAUCUUGGAGAGGUGAGUGGAAUUCCGAGUGUAGAGGUGAAAUUCGUAGAUAUUCGGAAGAACACCAGUGGCGAAGGCGACUGACUGGACAAGUAUUGACGCUGAGGUGCGAAAGCGUGGGGAGCAAACAGG
rnacentral:rRNA from 1 species